CUGCAGCCAAUUAAGCCGCCGACUGUGCUCUUUGUCUAUGAGGGCCCAGUGUGCCAUGGCUGCAAACAGUAGCCUCCUCGGUAGUGUAUGCAACCUGUUGAUUGUAUGGGUUGCCCUAAGGGACCUUGGAGACAAUC
rnacentral:snoRNA from 1 species